rnacentral:lncRNA from 1 species
GCCCAGAGAAGCUAUGGCUGCCCCAUCCCUGCCAGUGUUCAAGGUCAGGUUGGAUGUGGCUUGGAGCAACCUGGUCCAGUGGAAGGUGUCCCUGCCCAUGGCAGCAGAUUGGAACUGGAUGAGCUUUAAGGUCCGUUCCAACCCAAACCAUUCUAUGACUCUAAGAGAGGCUGACGGAGCUGGUGGCGUGGUCCUGAUUUAACUGCAGUCCUGGGUUUUGCAGCAUCCCACAGCAUGAGAGGACUUGUGGCAGUGUGCACUGUUACCUGUUUCACUGCUGUUUGUUUUUUCCCCAGAGCUUUGAAGGAGGUAGAGAGGGCUUUAUUUCACCUCCAAGCCAAGUACUUCAGAGAAAGUACAAUCCCUGCCAUUUUCUUGUGCCACAGGAAAAGCAGAGAUGUGGAGAGCUACAGUCCAAGCACUGUAUGGAAAUAAGCACUGGUUGUAUGUGGACACCUUUACUGGAGUUGCUAAGGAGCAGAGCUAGCUAUUUCCAUCUCAAAAUGCAGACAUAUCAAAUAACAUACAUUUAAGGGUAAUUAUGCUUUCUUUUUUUUAGCAAAAAAUCUGCUUAGUGUGGUUUCAUCAAGUUAUAGUCUAAAGAUGAUCUUAGGAAAUGUUAGUUUGCUAAGUGGGCAGUCAUAUGAUGAAACAUAUGUACCAUCUCUGCCUUUAGGUAAUUAUUAACUGGGCAGAUGCUGCAUUUGGAAGGUGCCUGACUUGUUUGGUUUAACAUAAAAAGCUCUAUUAGACUUUUUAAGUGUGCUCUAGGAGGCAAACCCUUCUUCAGGUGAAUUUAAGUGGUAUUUAUUACAGUUUUGCAAUACAUCUAGGUUAUUACUACUGUUUAUGUGUAUUUUCAUGUGUAAAUACUUAGAUUCAUUUAUAUUAGGAUUUGAAUACUUUAAGUACAGUUCAGAGGCUACAUUUCACCUGCUUAUAUAGUUUGUAUCAAAGGUUUGUAUUGCUUUACUAGAGAAAAACAAAUGAUGAGUUGUAGGUUUGAAUGCAAGCAUGUUGUUAGCAAGUGGGCUGAGGAGCUAUGCAGCUUUUCUUCCAUCAUUGUGAGGGUGUUUACCAUGCUAAUGGGGACCUUCCCAUUCUCUCACCAUAGAUGCUAUUUGGGAGCCUGCAUUGUUUCUGAAGAAAGCGUGGAUUUAAAGCACAUGUGCUUGAUUAAGCUGUCUAAUUUAAAAUGAAGAACUUCCUGAAGUCUGGACUUUUGCUUUAGAAAGGUUGAGGAUUUGGAAGGUACGUUUCUGUACCCCAGAGUGAAAGCAUGCUAGUGGAGCUGAUAUCUGUUUGUAUUCUGUGCAGGAAUUUAUUGUGUUUAUAAAAACCAGAUGGACAUAUAUGUUUUCAGUGACUACUUGGAUGAAAUAAAGAAUGAAGUGUUAGUGGCUCAGCAUGAUCUCUGCUUUUGA